GCUCCAAUAGCGUAUAUUUAAGUUGCUGCAGUUAAAAAAGCUCGUAGUUGGAUUUCUGCCGAGGAUGACCGGUCCGCCUGUGGGUGUGCAUCUGGCUCAGCCUUGGCAUCUUCCUGAAGAACGUAGCUGCACUUGACUGUGUGGUGCGGUAUUUAGGACAUUUACUUUGAGGAAAUUAGAGUGUUUCAAGCAGGCGUGCG
rnacentral:rRNA from 1 species